GUAGGUGGCAAGCGUUGUCCGGAAUUAUUGGGCGUAAAGCGCGCGCAGGCGGUCCUUUAAGUCUGAUGUGAAAGCCCCACGGCUCAACCGUGGAGGGUCAUUGGAAACUGGGGGACUUGAGUACAGAAGAGGAAAGCGGAAUUCCAAGUGUAGCGGUGAAAUGCGUAGAGAUUUGGAGGAACACCAGUGGCGAAGGCGGCUUUCUGGUCUGUAACUGACGCUGAGGCGCGAAAGCGUGGGGAGCAAACAGGAUUAGAUACCCUGGUAGUCCACGCCGUAAACGAUGAGUGCUAAGUGUUAGGGGGUUUCCCGCCCCCUUAGUGCUGCAGCUAACGCAUUAAGCACUCCGCCUGGGGAGUACGCCGCAAGGCUG
rnacentral:rRNA from 1 species